rnacentral:lncRNA from 1 species
GACCGGCGCGGGUGCUGGAGGUCAGCAGGGGCCGUGGGCGGUGGACGCUGGAAUGCCUUGGGUUCCGAGGGACCCAGCUGCCUGAAUGGACACGAGUAGGAGGUUUUUGCUGGGCGUCUUUGCGGUGGCGGGAAGCGGUGAGGGAGGGAAAGAAGGAUACAAGCUCAAGGGGCAGGCCGGGUGCACCAUCCAUCCCCGUGCCCUCGGGUCAUCUCAGGGAGACUGUGGGAUGAUAGUGCGUUUGUGGGCCACAGUUCACAACGAUGGGCCCUGCAUCGGGUCAGAGGACCCCUCCGGAACAGGGGGAUGCACAAGGUCAAGAGAAUGCAUGGAAUCAGAGGGCUGCACCAGGUCAGGGGGGCUGCACCGAGACCAGAGGAAGCAUCAGGUCAGGAGGAUGCACUGGAGUGUGCAUCCCCAGGGGGCCACACUGGGUAAGGAGGAUGCACCAGGUUAGGAGGCAGCACUGGGUCAGAAGGAUGCACUGGAAUCAGGGGACUGUACCAGGUU